rnacentral:misc_RNA from 1 species
ACCAAUCUCCACAGUGGCCUCAGGGAAUACGCAGUCACUAGUGCUAUCAAAGAUAGCCGCUUCAGUCCCAUCACCAAGGAUGAGUUCACCAAGCUCCACGUGUCUGUGUCCAUUCUGACCAACUUUGAGGACGCCAGAGAUUACAUGGACUGGGAGGUUGGGGUUCACGGCAUCAGGAUAGAAUUUCUCAAUGAGAAAGGUCAUAAGAAGACAGCUACAUAUCUACCUGAGGUUGCCAUAGAGCAAGGAUGGGACAUUAUGCAGACAAUAGACUCUUUACUACGAAAGGGUGGAUUUAAGGGACCAAUUGACCACGAUGUUAGGAAGUCUCUGAGAUUAACUCGUUACCGCAGUGAAAAAUUAACCCUAGGAUAUAACGAUUAUGUUGCCAAUAAGCAAAAUGGUCACGCAUGAUGCCGGUGAAUUUUAGGAUUCGGGCAGCACCACACCUUGAUCACUGCAGAAUAAAAGAUGCGCAAUAGUCGUGUGAUUGCAGCAUACAAACGGCAUACAAGUCAGCAUAUGGUAUUAAAAGAAGAU